AUAUUAGACACAGUCCGAUCCAGACGUCGGAUAGAGGAACGUCUCUUGACCGCGACACCUCUAUUAUAAUAAUAGUGUUCCUGUCUAUUUUGGUAAUGUCUUUUCGUUAGUUUAUUGAGUGUUUUUUAUAGCCCCGCUUAGAGCGAUAUGAGUAACAAAAACGAAAAGUGGAAACCUAUGGUCAUACAUAACCCUUCUACCAGGAUGCGGAUGGCCAGGAAUAUGCCGCAAUGGGUGAAUAAAAGCGGUUCCAGUGGCAUCCCACCACCUCCCAUUCCUCGAGAUUCCGGAAGAAAAACUGACGAACCCGACUAUGAAGUAAUUGAAUUCGGCCAAUAUUUAAACACUCCUCCUACGAAAGCUCUAGGUGAAAUUUACAUAUCUAUUAAAAAAAACUAUAUAAAACUAGCUCUUGUUGUAGAACGACCGCAAAAACAUUGUCAACUAUGCGGCUCUACGUCCCCGAACGUGAACGUGCAUUGUGAACAUUGCAAACAAAACUUUUGCCUUUCUUGUGACGAUAUGUACCAUAGGCAUCCAAAAAGACAGCAUCACAUAAGAAGAAGGGUAGAAGAACGUGGGUUCCAACCUAUAAGACCCCCUUUACCCCCUAAAGGAGAAUUUCCUCAGGCGCCCCCUCAACCUCCCCCUAGAAGAAGACGUUCUGGAUCAAUAGGACCCUCCCCUUGCCCCUCACCCACCCCGAUGAAGAAUAACCAGGGUUCGCAUCAAUUUUCUAUGCCAAGAAAGGACAGCGGGUUUAGUCUUAAAGAAAAAAUGAACAGCCUUAGAAGAGGACUGACUUUGGGCAACAGACCACUGCCGCCUACGCCAAACAGUCCUUCCAGUGGCGGUCCAAGCUAUCCAACGUCCAGGUCGAAUUCCCAAGUGUCCCAGGACGAUUUUCGACAAUUCCAGGCACCUAGUCCCAGCCCGUCCCUUCAAGAACGUUAUAGGAGACAUCAGCUAGCUAUGAGAGGCACGACACCCAAUUUGCCAAGUCAUGUGGCGGCAGAGUUUGAUAAAUCGCCAAGUGGGGAUUCGGGAUAUCCAGAUUGGGAUCAAUGGGCUAUUCGGGACAGGGCAGGAAGUGUUUCUGGAUCAGAGGCGGCCACCAAAGUAUCAAGAAAACUCUCCAACACCUCUUGCCCGCCACCGACCAGAAGCAAUAUACCACAUAGCACCUCAGUGUUUGAUUUGAACAAUACCAUGGCCCAUCAUCACCACGGAGGAUUUACGCCCAUGCAACAGGCCCAAUCAAUGGCCCAACUUGGUUAUCCAAUGCCUUGUUGUCCCAAUGUCUGGAUGGAACAGCAACCGUGCUGCUUCGACCACGCCCCUCACGGAAGCAAUAUGAGUCUUAACGUGCCUCACGGUUAUCCAGUCAAUCCUAUGUGGAUGGGCACUUGGCAUGGUCCAUCACCUGGAAUGUAUCCCUGUGGAAUACCGCCGCAAGCAAGGCCUUGUUCACAUUCACGUCCAGCCUCACCGACCCAUAGCGUUAAGUCACGUAAAUCCACUCUAAGCAAGAAAUCCCGAAGGAAGUACCAGGACGAUUCCUCAGAUGAAGAUUUAAACGAUCUGGACGAUAGAAGAUCAAUGUUUAGCCACACGGAUAACCGUAGUGAGAGAAGAUCCCUGGGAAGAUACGGGCUAAGAGAGAGAUCACGAGAUACAUCUUCAAUGCCCAGGGAAAAUGCGAGACGAAGAAACAGUGAUAGAGCAGAAAGGGCCUCGGUUGGUAAAAGCAGAGUCAGCGUGGUAGACUCUUCGUCAAGUAAUAAAACGGACGACGAAGAAAGCGACGAUAAUAAAGCCAUUGACAAGAAAACCGAUGAUACUCCUGUUAAUGAAGAAACACCAUUUAAUUCGGAAGAACCGGUAGAUAUACCGGAAACAUCAUGGAGCUGCGAGCAUUGCACUUUCGUCAACGAGCCGGGCACGAGGGUGUGUUCCAUCUGCUGCAAAACACCCAUUUCCCAAGUAAAACUUGUGAAACCACCACAGCAAGCGACAAAAGUGGUCCAGCAAGGCAAAAAUUCAAACUUAAAGCCUCCGAUUGGUCGUAACAAUAACGUGCCCACCGGAAACAAGGCUAAAAUCAAGGAGAAUAAAGUGUUGCAAAGUUUAAGCUCAGACGAUUACAGCGCCAAGUCGCUUAGUGAAACAGAAUCGAUGCAAAAUAAACUGCAAAAGCUCAACUUGGACCUACAAGGAGAAUCGAAAUCCAAAGAACAUGGUGCUGAAAAUAAGACUGAUAAACAUAGUGAUCAUCAUCAGCGGUUAGAUGAUCAAAACGAAUCUGCCGGUUUAAAAGUAUCAACUGCAUGUGGCACGUCACCUCCAAAAGAAAUAGUUGAUGCCAACAAUAAUAAAAAAGUAGCGUCUACGAGUACUGCGACCUCUCCACCGCCUCAAAAUAUCUCCACACAGACUUACGAAGAAUCCCCGCGUAAAAGUCAAAGAAGUUCUCCACCGAAAAGUAUUGCGGAUCACAGUAGGUCAAGCAGAUACAGAGACCUAAAAAGGUCACAGUCCGUCCACACGCCAUCCUCGAAAAGGGGUUCGGAAUGGUCGUUGCAUAGGUCUUCCAGUAGACAUAGCUUCACUACAGAUUCGCAAAGUUUGCCUGGUAGUAGAGAACCCAGUCCCAUGCCCUUCGACUACGAAGAACCAUACUUCGAAAAGCCAUCAGUGAGGCAAAAGAAGUUGCACGGAGGAAACGGCAGGAACUCUCACAGCAUUAUGGACCUCAGAAGACCAGAGCUGUAUCAAAGGAGACCCAGCCAUCAGGAUUUAGGAUCUUACAGGAUGGACUAUGCUGUCCAGGAGCCUCUAAAUCACCGUCACCGUUCCGAGUCUCUGCGUCCCGAAUAUUUUGAAAACGUUUUUGAAAAAAGGGAUAAUUAUAAGAACCAAGGCAUGGAAUUAGUUAAAUUACUUAGAGAAGCAGAGCUACAUAAGUUUACUGCUGAUGAGGUACAGGCAGCUCUCUUGCAUUGUAAGGAUCAAAAUCCUAUUGACUGGCUUAAAGAACACUGGGAAGCGAUAGUUGCUAGUGUACAAACCUUGGCCACCCAAAUGGGUAGAGAGGGACCAAUGAAUAUAGUUGGAACUGUAUCGGAAAAAGAGGCCAGAGACUCCCUGAGGCGUAAUAAGGGAGACCUCUGGCCAGCUGUUCAACAAUGCGUUGAACAGCGACAGAGAAAGUAUGCAGAGCUAGCCAGUCGUGGUGACUUCUCCAGGGAAGACAUAGUGACCGUUCUAACAACAAAUCAUGGUGAUUUAGAGGCGGCCUAUAGUGAACUCAGUAAAACGCAAAUAAAACCGUUUUUAAUGCGAAUUUGGGGUCCACCGAACGGUAUCGAGAACGAGGCAGGUAACGAGGGGGCCACCCUGCAAAAAUUUAGGGGGGAAGAAGUGCUUGAUGAAAAACAAAAGCAAUUAAAAAAACAAGCUGAAGCGGUAAGUCUCGAUCAAAAUCAGUUUAAACCUUCUUCUCCUAAUGCCGUAAGUACUAGCCCCCCGGAUUUAAAAAAAACCCAAUUUUUUAACGAGUCUCCCCUAGAAGAUUCGAUAGAAUUAGUUAGUGAAAAAGAUAAACCAUUACCGUCGCUAGAUACUAUAGAAACCGAGAUUUUAAAGAGCAUACAGGAAAUUAAUAAUUUAAGCAACGAACGCAGAAUGCAAAGGCAGGAAAGGGAACAAACACAUUCAAAAUCUGAGCCGGUUCUAGAACAACCAUCAACUGAAAUAUCUCUACAAAAUGUCGAUUCGCAAUCUACACUCUUAGAAGCUGUAAAUAGGCAGGAUGAAUCUGCAACUGAAAAUCAUCCUCUCUCAAUAUUAAUGAAUGAAGAUUCUCUGAAGGUUCAAGACCUUUCCGAAGCAUUUCAACCUAAAUCUGACAAGCAAAUUAUAUCAGGAACUUCUGCAGAGCAUGGAGAACCUCACGUUCCUAAUCCUAUAUUCUCUACACCCACUAAAACUCCCCUUAAAACCAUAGAGAUUACUUAUACGCCUAUAUCCCCGGUACUCACAAACCUUGAGGUUCCCCAAAGUCCUAAAACGUAUGUAGAAAAAAGUAGCACAGUAAUAGAAGUAGUAGACUUAGCGGGAUUAGAACCAACCAGUGGAAAAAAGUCGGAAAGUCCCGAGUCUGAGAGCAGCAGUUCGAGUGAGGAAAAUGUAUUGGGAGAUGAACAGUUUGAAGAUGCACUUGAAGAUAUGGAAAAGAGUGAAGCUACAAGCGUUGAUAUGGUAGAACUUGCACCAUCGAUACCAGAACGAAAAAAGAGUAUUAGCACUUUAAACAUUCAGCUUUUCGAAACACCUUUGGCGUUUGUUUCUAAGGGUAAUGUAAGUAAUUUAACAGAGAAUGCGCCUAUUAAGUUCGAGCCGGAAUUUCAGGAAAGUACUGCGGAAAUUGUCCUGAAAAGUUCUGACGGUAGAUCUGCUCUAAAGGAUAAAGUUGGAAGGACAGACCAUGAGCUAGUCAAAAAUAAGGGAGUUAUUACGCCUAAGCAAAUGAAGGAAAUAGGAAGUAAUGGGGCAAAUUUCGAAAAUUCUUUGCAUAUAGAUAUAGAAAAAACUGUAAUUGUCGAUCAAAAUAUUAAAGUGCGUGAGGACAUUUUAGUAGAAGAAGAUGAGCCUACUGAAGCAAAACAUAAAGAAAUAAAUGCAAAAACUGAUCAAAAUGUUAAUGACAAUAACAUAAGUAAAGAAGCAGAUGCUAAAGCUAAAAUGCCACAAGAAGUAGAGGUAAUCGCCAGUAACUUUGAUAUGACUAAAAAUAAUGUUAGAGAAGAAAAUGGUACUCGAGAAGCAAAUCAGGUUUAUCAAAAAGUUGAUCCUGCAGCAAUAACAGAAGCUCAACAAGAUGAGGCUCAUAAUUCUCUAUCUAUAAUGGGCGAAUCAAGAAAAGAUAGGCCAGUCGCAAGUAACUUUGAUAUAAAUUCGAAUAUCAUAGAACAACGUCAAACUCAAAGGCCCAUUAAUGAAGAAGAGGUUUUUCAAGAAGUUAUUCAUGCACCAAUAACUGAAGUGAAAGGGGACUCUUCAGAAAAUGAGCUUCAUAACACUGAAUCUCAGAUAGAGGAAACAACAGAACAACCCAAGAACCCACAGGGAGAAGAGGUGAUCUCAAGUAAGUCUGAUAAAAAUAAAAAUAGUCUUAUAGAGCAAAGUCUCACUCAAGUUAAUGAAAAAGAAGUUUUUCCUCCAGAAAUAACUGAAAUAAAAGUAGAGUCUGAUAAAAUUAUGGAAGCUUCACAACAUGGACUUGAUAAUUCUGAAUCUCAGAUAAAGGAACUAAUAAAACAACCAAAGAUCCCAGAUGGAGAAGAAGUGAUCUCAGGUCCCUUUGAUAAAAAUGAAAAUAAUCUUAUAGAGCAAAGUCUCUCUUCAGUUAAUGAAAAAGAUGUUUUCCAAGAAGUUGUUCCUGCACCAAUAACUGAAGUAAAAGUAGACCCUGAUAAAAUAAUGGAAACUUUAGAACAUGGGCUUCAUAACUCUGAAUCUCAGAUGGAGGAACUAAUAAAAAAAUCCGAGAGUCCACAGGUAGAAGAAGUGAUCUUAGGUGCUUUUGAUAAAAAUGAAAAUAAUCUUUUAGAACAAAGUCUCACUACAGUUAAUAAAAAACGAGUUUCUCAAGAAGCUGUUCUUGCACCAAUAGCUGAAGUAAAAGUAGACCCUGAUAAAAUAAAGGAAACUUUAGAACAUGGGCUUCAUAACUCUAAAUCUCAGAUGGAGGAACUAAUAAAAAAAUCCGAGAGUCCACAGGGAGAAGAAGUGAUCUCAGAUACCGUUGAUAUAAAUAAAAAUAAUCUUAUAGAGCAAAGUUUCACUUCAGUUAAUGAAAACGAACUUGUUCCUGCACCAAUAAGUGAAAUAGAAUUUGACUCUAAAACAGCAGCUUCAAACCCCAAGUCUGAUAACUCUGACCUUAAAAUAGACGAAUCAAUAAACUUGAGCUUACCUCCAAGUGGGGCCAAAACGAAAAAUCUCAGCAAAAAGCAAAAGAAAUCAAAGAAACAAGCCAGAAAGAGAGCAGAGAAAUUAGCAUUAAUGCUUAGAAAAGAGAGUUCUAGCAGUACGAAUGAAUCACAAAGCGACAACACUGAAUCUAAAGAGGAAGAGAAGCUGGUUAGCUCAGUAAGUGAAACUGUAGAAGAAAUCGUUAGUAACUUAGAAAACGCCUCUGAUCCAACCAAAGAAGGGCAUAAGAUAGAAAGAAAAAAACCACUUAAGAAAACGGACAGUAAAAAGUUUGAGAAGUACAAGCAUAUGACUUUGAAGCAAAAUAUUCCUUACUCGCCAAUAGAAGAAAAGCAAGAAUUUACGUUGGAGCCAAUUCAAUCUGAAGUGAAAGGUAAUGAAAUUACAUCAGAAAAUAAAUCCAUUGAAGAGUCAGUAAUUGAGGCAAUCCAAACUGAAGAAAUUCGGCCAGUGACCACGACAAAAAUCCAAAUAGCACAAAACCAUCAAUAUCCAGUAUCCAAAAGCCAACCAUCAAAAAUUCCUGUAAUUUCACGACAGAAUUCUAUAACCAAGGAGCCUAAAUCGCCACCUAAUACUACAGGGAGCAAAAUACCAGUGAGACAAAGUCCGCCAAGGAUUCAAAAGGCCCCAGAGAAAACUCCUGCUAAAGUUGUCAGCCUUAUGGUAGAAGAAUCGUGUGAAUCUGAAAACGAUGCUCAAAAUGUAGUUCAAAAAGUGAGCUCUUCUAACAAUACGUCUUUAAAACACUCAAAAAGUCUUAGUCCAAGACCAGUUGACCGACAAAAGCCAAGCACAUCCAGGUCGUUCGAACAAAGGCGCAGUUUAUCAAGAAAGUCUUCAAUUCAAUCAAAUCAAAGCGAAGAUAUCGGUAAGAAACUGAGCAAGAAGAUAUCCUCUCAAUCAUUUAAAAGUUCACUGGACUCAAACGCCAGUUCUAAAAAGAUGUCUUAUACCAAAAGUCUUGAUAAUGAUAGCGAAAGUUCGGUAUCUGAUAGUAACGUCGAGGAGCUACUAUCUGACGACGAGUUCGAACAUUUCGAAGUCGAUUAUAUAGAGGAAAGCGAGUUGGAGGAAAGCGACUCGGAGGAUUACGAAAAAUUUGAUCAAAUCGCUGAAAAACUGAGCAAAAAUUUAAAUCAAAUGAGCGAAAAGAUGGGCCAGUUAACAUCAAAAUUAGACGGAAGUAAUAGUUAUUCUAUUGAAGAAACUUGUGAGUCUGAACAGUAUAGUUCUGAUGAUGAAGAGGAAGUUGACGAAACGGAGAGUAGCCAAAAUGAGGACCAACUUAUCGAAGAUGUUUUACUAGAUACAAAAGAAAAAAUUCUUAGUGAAACCGAACACAUGCAGAGGCAAGCGAGAAGGUUUUUAGCGGAAGGAAGGGUGCAGAACUACGAGCAAGCAGAGCUGGCAGCAAGUUUGCUUGCUUUGCAGUUCUCUCCCGAGGAAGCUCUCGAAGCUGUUAAGGACUGUAGCCACUUGGAUGCCGCCAUAGCUUAUUUGCAACAGGACUGCGAGCUGUGCGCUGGAAAGUAUCCAAUGAAAAAGAUUAUAUCAAUGCUAAAAUGUACCCACAGAUGUUGCCAGGAAUGUGCCAAAAACUACUUUACAGUGCAAAUAACAGACCGGAGUAUCAUGGAUUGUAACUGUCCCUUCUGCAAAGCUCCCGAGUUAAGUCACAACACUUCUACAGAAGAUGAGAUUUCCGACUAUUUUAGCAACUUGGAUAUUCUACUCAAAGGCAUUUUAGAUCCACCGGUUCAUGAGCUAUUUCAGCAAAAGCUGAGAGAUCGAACUCUGAUGCAGGAUCCUAAUUUUAAGUGGUGUGUACAGUGUUCGUCUGGUUUUAUAGCGCAUCCAAAACAAAAGAGACUUAUUUGUCCGGAUUGUAAAUCAGUCACUUGCGCUAGCUGUAGAAGACCGUGGGAGAAACAACAUGAAGGAAUUACGUGUCAAAAAUUCGCCGAAUGGAAAGACGCCAACGAUCCAGAAAACCAGGCUUCCGCUGUCGCAAAGCAUUUAGCUGAAAAUGGUAUAGACUGUCCUCAGUGUAAAUUUAGAUAUUCCUUAGCUAAAGGAGGUUGCAUGCAUUUCACCUGUAUCCAGUGCAAACACGAGUUCUGUUACGGUUGCGGCAAACCGUUUAUGAUGGGCGCCAAAUGUAGUGUGAGUCAGUAUUGUUCAAAGUUAGGAUUGCACGCUCAUCAUCCUCGAAACUGCUUAUUUUAUUUGAGAGACAAAGAGAUUCAUGAGUUGCAAAAAUUAUUGAAAGACCAUAAAAUCAAGUUUGACACAGAGCUGCCAACAGAGAAGGAAGAAAAUGCAAGCGCAAUCGUAAGAUGUCCUGUUUCUCUACAGAAGGAAACACCAACCGGUUUAUUGGAUACUGUUUGUAAUAAUGAUGUGAAUCCGGGGCAAGCUGGCUUAUGCAGAAUGCAUUACAUAGAGUACCUAAGCCUGUUGAUUUGUAAAAAUAAAAUCGAGACCAUCGAGAUCCUUCAAGAAGACGAUCUAGAAACGAUAGUGCGUAGGGCGAACAAACGGUUGCCCCCGAACGCUUACGGUACCCCAAAGUCCAUGUACCAUUUUAGACUGAAACAGGCAACACUACAUCGAGUACUUAGUGGGACUGAUAUUCAGGCACAAGUUGGAUCCCGUAUCGAUCUUGGAUUUGGUUGAGGUUAGCCAAGAGUUGAGGAGACGUGGACACGAGUUACCCGAGAGGGGACCGUGGUGCGACGACAACCAAUAUAGAGAAAUGUGCGCUAAGAUCGUCAUGGAGCAAGUGCCUCUUGAAUGAAACUGAAACAAACAGAAGAUUUUGGAUAAUGUAAGCCCUCACUUCACUCAUUCUAGACGAAGAAUUAGGCAGAUGUCUAUCUGACAUGUUAAAAACCAGAUAAAUCAUAAAUAAAUAUUUUGAUGCUUUACGACUCGGUUUUCCCUAUCUAGACGAUAUUGUUUGUUACCCUCUUACAUUAUUAUUUUAUUAGACGAUAUUUUGUAACGCACGUUUUAAAACAUUGUUUACCUUUAGAUGCCUAGACUUUAUGAUUGUUUAAUAAAGGAUUCUCCAAUAA